rnacentral:rRNA from 1 species
UACGAAGGGGGCGAGCGUUUGUUCGGAUUUACUGGGCGUAAAGGGCGCGCAGGCGGUUCUGUUUGUCGAGUGUGAAAGCCCCGGGCUCAACCUGGGAACUGCGCUCGAACGGCGGAACUAGAGUUCGGGAGAGGAGAGUGGAAUUCCCAGUGUAGAGGUGAAAUUCGUAGAUAUUGGGAAGAACACCGGUGGCGAAGGCGGCUCUCUGGACCGAUACGUGACGCUGAGGCGCGAAAGCGUGGGGAGCAACAGG